CAGCUAUUCAUUUUGCUGAUUUGCAGCCAACCUGGCAGUUCUUGUUCUCUCAUUUCCAUGCUAAAUCUCUUUGUUUUAGGUUCCCAGCCAAGUGACUGAUAUAAAAAAUCCCAUCCAUCCUCCACAAACAGCCCAUACCUACAAUUACGCCUUCCAAUUCAAUCAGCAGUUCUAGAAAAAAUCAUAAUCUUUUUCUGCUGCUUCCUAUAUUGUUAGUCUGCACUGUUAUGUUGUUUUAUCCUUUUUCCUUUACCUAUUAUUGUUUUGUGCCCUUUCUUUCCGUAGUGAUCAGUUGGAAAAAGUAAAAAAAAAGAACUGCUUCCUAUUCUGUUAGUCUGCAUUUUUUUAUGUUGUUUUAUCAUUUUCCUUUUACCUACCGUUGUUUUGCGCCCCUCUUUUCCUCAGCAAUCAAUUGAAAAAAGUGAAAAAUAAAAAGGUCUUUCCUUUCCAUUGCUGUUCUACACUACAGCUAAUGCCUUUCUUUCAUUUAUUGGUUCUUACAUAAUAUGAAUGAUUUCUUCUUUGCCCUAAAAAAAUGAUUUCUUCUUUCAUUCUAGCAAUCAAUUGCUUCUUCUAAAGACAAAUUGAUAUACCAAAAAGAUUCAUAUGAUCCAACCCCCUUCAAACGGAAACCAGCAAGUCAACUAUAGGUCAUAUCUUGUCAUCCAAUCAAUAUCAGCAAACUUUUGCACCAGCAAUUGAUUGCAUCUUCUAGUGACAAAUAUACCAAAAAUAUUUUUACGAGCAAAGUCAACUAGAUCAUAUCUUGUCAUGCACACAACAUCAACAAACUUUUGCAGCAGAAUUGGAGACACAACAUAUAUUGGCAACCUUCAUCUUAAAUGUUGCUUUCUUGGUGAAGGACACACAAAGUUAUUACUGAAAAUUUCACUAUAAACAAGACCCCAAAGGCUAAACCAGAGGAUCCCUGUAAUCUGAGAAUUGGAGUCCACUACUAAACAUAAGUCAUGGUGGAAUCAUCUUCGUUUCGCAUGCCAUUGACCAAAUGGCAUCAUGAUCUGCAAGAUAUCAACUUCUGGCUGAAUGGAUAUCUCAACAGUCCUGCAUAUCAUAACUUGGAAGAAAAACUUUACUUGUAUCGCGUGCAGUGGAAUGUUGGGGUCGGACCCACAGCAUGUUUCACACGAGCUAUAUCGAGCAUCGCUCGGGAUGUAAGGAUCAGGAGACGUGGUCCCUUCGACCAUGUAAUAGAGGUGGACAUGAAGCAUGCAGCAUCAGAGCUGGGAAUUCGGUUCGACGACAUUAAUGACAUGCUGCAUAUCAAAGUGGCCGAGCAGCUCGGGCUACUCGAACAUAAAUACGACAUGGCAGACGCUGAGCUGCGGUACUAUACCUACAUGGAGAAGAAGCAGUAUGACACAGUCUCACCCCGGGAGCUAAAAUAUUCCGUAGCUCCUCAAAUAAUGCAAAAUCUACUGACCAAGAAGUACCUGCUGGUGGUUCAGAAUCUCGACAGGCCAAUAAAGCCCAUCGUGAUUGAUGAUACGACAGAGGGCUUAUGCCUUCCUGCCCCUGGGUGGAAAGAUUCUCUCUGGAUCGUAUCCACCACCUCCCAAGAUGUCUAUGACAGGAGUAACAAGCCAGAUGAGCCUCGCGUCAUCGAAUCCUUUGCUGGGGAUGAUAUAUUGAUUCUCACACUGCAUUCCCUGGAACAAGCGGCCAAGUACAUCUCUGUUGCGGUUGGCCAUGGAGAGGAGAAGUAUUGGCAUCAUGUGGCCAUCCAGUGCUUUCACUACGCCACCAUGCUGCUUAUUCCCCACAGUUCCAAUAUUGACCCGCCAAAGUGUGAUGCCCAGGCUGAUGUUAGCUCAGAUGUGUUGAUCCGCCAGUGGGCUGCUCAAGGAAUCCUUCCUGUCAUGAAGCCAAGUGUCCAAGAAAGAAUGGGGGAGGACACUGACGGCUACCACUGUCAGUACUAUGGUGAUGAUAUAUAUCAACUUGGAAAUGACAUCCUCGAGGCUUUUCGGGAGUAUUCGUUGCUGCAGCUGCCUUUUUCUCCUGCAACGAAAGAUGAUGAAGCCACAAUAUCUGCUGCACACUUCCUAGCAUAUCAUAGCCUUGUUGUAGAGCCCCUCACAUCCGAUGAACUCUGUGAGGGAAAUCACUCUCAGUUGGAGCACAUGCAGUGGAUCUCACAUGUGGGCGACCAAGGAUGGCAUGUAAGCAGAGAUUGGUUGAGCCAGGAGUCCAGCGGCCCGACCACACUUAUUAUAAGGCAUUGCUCGCAACACUCGAGGUUGUUCAUGAAGCUUGAAUCUGAUGAUUUCUUGGUCAAACUCCCUUGUCUUCGUGUACUUGAUAUUUCCUACACUCCGAUAGAGUCACUUCCUCCUUCAAUCUGCUGUCUCCAAAAACUCCAAUUGCUUUCCCUUAGAGGCUGCUAUAAUCUCAGAAGUCCAUUCUGCUUCCCAGACACUGAAACUACUCUCUGUGAAAACAACGGCAACAAGAAGCUCAACUUGCUCUAUCUCGAUCUCUCCUAUUCAAAUAUACACACAUUCCAGUGUGACUUCUUCCAUAGCAUGCCUAAUCUAAAAGAGCUCCUGCUUGUUAGGUGCUCAAACCUUGAGGAGUUGCCACCCUCCAUUGCUGUGUUGUCUAGUCUAACAACAUUUGACAUCAUGUGCUCGAACUUUAAGGAGUUGCCACCCUCCAUUGCUAUGUUGUCUAGUCUACCAACACUUGAAAUUAUAAAUACUCAAAUAAAAUCUUUCCCUAUAGAGAUAUUUGAAGAAAUGAGGAAGCUCCGAUCACUCAAGCUGAUUGACAACAAGCUCCUGGGGCUAACAGAGAUAAAAUUGGUUGGGCAUAGUACCCUUAAUUCAUUCUCAUUGAUUGGUGCGCCUCGUACAAAGCGAUUGUCUUUGCUCGGAUGUAGAAAGCUAGAAUCUGUGGACAUUAAGGAGGUUGAUGCUUUGGAGGAACUUGAUCUAUCUGCUACCGGUAUCAAGGAGCUACCAGACAACAUCCCUAAUCUGCCCCAGCUUAGGCGAUUGCUUCUCAGGGGCGUUCCUUCCCUGAGACGAUUCCCUUGGCAUAAGCUGCAUAGAUUCCCAGAUGUGUUUUGCUUGGAUCAAUGCUCAUCAGAUGGAACUGUUAAUCAUGAUUGCAGUACUCCACAAGUAGCUCAGGUGUGCAUAAGUGAUUCCAGAUUGUUUUAUAGCUUCAAUGAUGCCACCGUGGGUUUAGUAAGGGGUGGAAGAAUUUUGAAAUCUUUCCAUGUUCAAAUUACAUCAUGCAAGGCCAUAACUAGGAUGAUACAGGAUGAUGAGGACAUGGUGAAAACCAACAAGCUUCAUGCGUCAUUGGCAGCCUAUGCUGAUGUAAACCGUCGCUAUCUGACAGAUGGAGUCUGGAUGGUGUCAAUGGAUGACGUGCCUCCCUUUCGGGAGACUGAGCGUCAUGUGGGGAUCUCAGCAGUGGAGCGGUAUCCCCAUGGUCUGAGGUAUCUUCUGGCAGUCACUAAAUCAAUUAGCAUGUCAGAUGAUACUCACGUCUCCUGCCUCAAUGAUCUGAGUCGUUUGGAUAUCCUGGAGGAAUGCAAGCUCCAGCGGUGCCAUCGCAUGGUGCUUGUCUUUAAUGAUGUGUAUCCAGAUUACCUGGGGCCGAGUUUGAAGAAUGCACAUGUCUGUCAUCUCAAAAGUCUAACACAUUUCUACAAAGAGCGGGAUUAUGAUAUUGAUUUCCGGGGACUGAAGCACCUCCGGCUGGAGCAUUGCCCGAGGUUGGAAGGCGUCAUGCCACGUGGAUCUGCGCUGCCAAGUCUCGUCACGCUCGACAUCCUCUUCUGCUACAAUCUCAAGGCAAUUUUCUACUACAAUAGCGAGUCGUCUUCUAGUUUCGAGCUCCCAUGUCUUCGGAGGAUACACCUCCAGGAGCUGCCCCUGCUGGAGCAUCUUCGCGACGACGACGCCGUCCUGGCCGCGCCUGCGUGGGAGGAGCUCCACGUCCGCGGGUGCUGGAGCUUGCGCCGCCUGCCGCGCCUCAUCGACCGACGACCAGGCAAGAAGGCCGUGACGGUGAGCGGGGAGCGGGCCUGGUGGACCAAGCUCCGCUGGGACGGCCGGGACGACUCGCACUGCGAGAGCUAUGAGCCCAGGCUUCCCCCGGCAUCCGCCUCCAUCCGCGAGCGCGUCAUCAUCAAGACCUACCUCAGGUGAAGGAAUGGAGCCAUGCCCAAGCCGCAAUCUCAUCCAGAGCUACCUCAGGUGAAGGAACUGAGCCAUGCCCAAGCCGCAAGCUCAUCCUCAGCAACCUCCGCCUCCAAUCUCAUGCGCCCGUCCAGAGUUUCACCAUGCCCGCCCGCCGGCGUCGAUCUCCAUUUAUUCCAAAUAAGAGGUUUGGUUUGUCUGCUGGCUGCUUCAUCGUCCGGCCGGCGCAUCCAAGCAGUGUGACAGCAGCUCAACCAGAUUGCAGUGUUUGAUGCCUCAACGUGUGUUUUCUAGUGUUGUGUGCUUGCUUUGAUCAGUUCGUGCAGUGACUUGGAUUUGCUUGCCCGUGUGAAACUUUGAUGUGUCUGUUUUAAUUUGUUCGUUCCCAUUCAUAAUCAGCAUGGCCACCUCGAUCGGCGUGCUAAAUUAUAUUACUACUUGUGUGUGUGUGUUUGCUGCACUACGUGUUGCUGAACUUGCUGUUAUUAUUUGAUUAUAUAUGGAUUGAAUUGGUAUGUAA